CGUUUGGCCUCGCGCUCGUGGAUGCGCCUGCGUCGGAUUAGCUAGAUGGUGAGGUAAAGGCUCACCAUGGCGACGAUCCGUAGCUGGUCUGAGAGGAUGAUCAGCCACACUGGGACUGAGACACGGCCCAGACUCCUACGGGAGGCAGCAGUGGGGAAUAUUGGACAAUGGGGGCAACCCUGAUCCAGCCAUGCCGCGUGUGUGAAGAAGGCCCUAGGGUUGUAAAGCACUUUCAGUGGGGAGGAAAAGCUGUCGGUUAAUACCCGGUAGCCGUGACGUUACCCACAGAAGAAGCACCGGCUAACUCCGUG
rnacentral:rRNA from 1 species